UACAGAGGGUGCAAGCGUUGUUCGGAAUUAUUGGGCGUAAAGCGCGUGUAGGCGGCUUUGCAAGUCGGGUGUGAAAGCCCUCACGCUCAACUGAGGAAGUGCGCCCGAAACUGCAGAGCUUGAGUACCGGAGAGGAUGGUGGAAUUCCCCAAGUAGAGGUGAAAUUCGUAGAUAUGGGGAGGAACACCGGUGGCGAAGGCGACCAUCUGGACGGAUACUGACGCUGAGACGCGAAAGCGUGGGUAGCAAACAGG
rnacentral:rRNA from 1 species